CAGGGCAUUAAAGGCUGCUUGUAAAUGCACUGCAGCCCCUUUAUGGCAGGCUUGGCUGCUGCUUCUCUUCAAAGCCAUGGGAUGCUGCCUCAGAAAUACGCAGGACCACAGUCUGGAAAAUGGAUUGGAAGAAGCGCAUGGCACACAAGGCUGUCAUUACAAGGCCUCAUCCACAGCUUCUUAAAAGCUCUACAACUUUUUCCCUAUAGUCAAUUUUUUAGAAAGUCACCUCUGGGCCACUGGGCUCAUGUUUUGAACAGCAGUUCUACUCUCUCUAUAAGGAGCACACCUAUCCAUUAAGCAAGACUGUUCCACCACCUGCUAGGUCUCACUGAAGCCAUUCUCAGCAUUAUGCUGGCAAAUUCAGCUUUCAGACCAGAAGCCAGAGCCAGGCGAGUGGCCCAGCUGCCAUGUUGCCAGCUUCUCCCUCAUCUCAGCUCUUCUCCUGGAUGCUGUCGUUUUACAGUAAUUA